rnacentral:rRNA from 1 species
UACGGAGGGGGCAAGCGUUGUUCGGAAUUACUGGGCGUAAAGGGCGCGCAGGCGGCUGCUCAAGUCAGGCGUGAAAGGCCUGGGCUCAACCCGGGAAUUGCGCUUGAGACUGGGCUGGCUUGAGUGCGGGAGAGGAUGGUGGAAUUCCCAGUGUAGAGGUGAAAUGCGUAGAUAUCAGGAGGAACACCGGUGGUGUAGACGGCUCUCUGGACCAUAACUGACGCUGAGACACGAAAGCGUGGGUAGCAAACAGG